rnacentral:rRNA from 1 species
AACAGGAUUAGAUACCCUGGUAGUCCACGCUGUAAACGAUGUCGACUUGGAGGUUGUGCCCUUGAGGCGUGGCUUCCGGAGCUAACGCGUUAAGUCGACCGCCUGGGGAGUACGGCCGCAAGGUUAAAACUCAAAUGAAUUGACGGGGGCCCGCACAAGCGGUGGAGCAUGUGGUUUAAUUCGAUGCAACGCGAAGAACCUUACCUACUCUUGACAUCCAGAGAAUUUGCUAGAGAUAGCUUAGUGCCUUCAGGAACUCUGAGACAGGUGCUGCAUGGCUGUCGUCAGCUCGUGUUGUGAAAUGUUGGGUUAAGUCCCGCAACGAGCGCAACCCUUAUCCUUUGUUGCCAGCACGUAAUGGUGGGAACUCAAAGGAGACUGCCGGUGAUAAACCGGAGGAAGGUGGGGAUGACGUCAAGUCAUCAUGGCCCUUACGAGUAGGGCUACACACGUGCUACAAUGGCAUAUACAAAGAGAAGCGAACUCGCGAGAGCAAGCGGACCUCAUAAAGUAUGUCGUAGUCCGGAUUGGAGUCUGCAACUCGACUCCAUGAAGUCGGAAUCGCUAGUAAUCGUAGAUCAGAAUGCUACGGUGAAUACGUUCCCGGGCCUUGUACACACCGCCCGUCACACCAUGGGAGUGGGUUGCAAAAGAAGUAGGUAGCUUAACCUUCGGGAGGGCGCUUACCACUUUGUGAUUCAUGACUGGGGUGAAGUCGUAACAAGGUAACC